UAUAAGGUGCCACAAGACUCUGUACUGCAAUGGAAUCUCUCACCCCUCAUGUCUUUCUCCUGCAGACUGCAGCAACAAGACAGAGAAGAUUUUUUCUUCCCACAAGUCCAAAAUCGUGCCGGCUGUGCGUCAGGUGCAGGAUGUGCUGAUGAUGAUGGCCAGUUCUUCCAGGGAUGAGUCCAGACCAUCAGUCAGUGUCCCUACACCUGCUCCGACUGAGAGCUCCCAACUCCACACCUCUCCUCCAUCUUUCCUCGGGGUCUCAGAGCAGUGCCAGACACUUCGCUAUGAGGAUCGUCCAUGCAGAAAAGAGGAAGCUGGGCUCCAGAGAAACGUGAAGCAGACAGAGCAUCAGCAAGGACCUGGUACCCCUCAGCCCUGCAGUGUCAGCAUAGGUCCCAGGCAGGGAGGACCGAAUAAAGAAGGAGAAGGACCCAAUAAAGGAGAAUUUGGCUCCCCCAAGACAACCCCAUCACAGUUGAGACCCCCAGCCAAUCAGCCGAGGCCCUUCUUCCCCACCCAGUCCCAACCACAUCUCCUCGCCCAGGGGCCAGAGCAACACAUGCACCCAUUCUGGCAACAGCCUCAGCAACCUCUCUAUGAGUUCUCAGGUGGCAGCAUAAAUAUCGUUGGGCCUUGCUCGGCAAUACAGAUUGGCCGCAACAACACCAUGAAAGUGACCAAGGUGCGAGUAGAGAAGAAGAAGAAGAAGAAGAAAUAA
rnacentral:lncRNA from 1 species